GAUGAACGCUGGUGGCGUGCCUAAUACAUGCAAGUCGAGCGAACAGACGAGGAGCUUGCUCCUCUGACGUUAGCGGCGGACGGGUGAGUAACACGUGAAUAACCUACCUAUAAGACUGGGAUAACUUCGGGAAACCGGAGCUAAUACCGGAUAAUAUAUUGAACCGCAUGGUUCAAUAGUGAAAGACGGUUUUGCUGUCACUUAUAGAUGGAUCCGCGCCGCAUUAGCUAGUUGGUAAGGUAACGGCUUACCAAGGCAACGAUGCGUAGCCGACCUGAGAGGGUGAUCGGCCACACUGGAACUGAGACACGGUCCAGACUCCUACGGGAGGCAGCAGUAGGGAAUCUUCCGCAAUGGGCGAAAGCCUGACGGAGCAACGCCGCGUGAGUGAUGAAGGUCUUCGGAUCGUAAAACUCUGUUAUUAGGGAAGAACAAAUGUGUAAGUAACUAUGCACGUCUUGACGGUACCUAAUCAGAAAGCCACGGCUAACUACGUG
rnacentral:rRNA from 1 species